ACGCCCUCCCCGGCGCCCCCCGCCCGGGCCUGCUCCCCUCUGCACUGUCAAGCCCAGCUUCUCCCCGCGACGGCUCUCACGCCCCCGCCCAACUCGCAGCCGCUUCCGCACGCGCCCACCUGUGCCUCUGGUCGUGCUCGCAGUAACGGCCGGUGAAGCGGGCGGGGCAUACGCAGAAGCUGCCCAGCACGCAGGUGCCGCCAUUCCUGCAGCAGCGCGGCCGCGGGGGCGCACCUGUUGGGGGGACCCCUGGAUGUUAUCUGCCCGCCUCCUGGCCCUGUGCGUUAGACUGCCCCGGACAGCGCUUCAUGAGAUUGCCCGGAGAGGCCGUAAAAUUGAACUCCCUGCAGAGUGUGUUUGCUCAGGUAAACCCUACUCGUUCAUUUAAGGAUAAAAACAAACUGCCAGGGGUACUGGAAGGUCAGCAAGCAGCUCAAGGACCCAAGGAGAAACCCUGGGUCUCGCAAGUAGGAUUUUCUCUCUUCCUUCCUUUCAUAUGUUAAAGUCAGACUGUGACUUCCUGGGACAGUGAUUAAAAACAGGCCUUCAGGGCAGGGACCACCCACAGGUUGUUCUCAGUUCCUAAACUGGGAGGCCAGUGAUGGGGAUGACCACAAAGGUAUUUGGGGGACAAAGUGCCUUGGGACCUUGGAAAGCCCUGAAGUAGGGACUUGAAUCCUGGGGCCUCCAGGCAUCCAUGCUUCCAUUCCCCUCCCCAACGUUAUUCAGGGUCCAGCUGAGUGUUUUCUGCUGGAGCUUCUGGGCUGUAGCAUUGUUGAUUUCUUCUCUGUUACCUUUAUGUUUCUCUCUUUGAUAACCUUUUAAAAACAUUGAAAAUAUGAGACUGAUGAUGAUUAAGAAAUAAAUAUACAAUAAAAAGAGACUAUAAAUAAAAUGCUUCUUACUGUUGUUUCCCAAGUGGAUGCUCUGUAAUGCCAAACUGAUAAAAAACAGAAGCCUAGAAAGUUUAAACUAUUGAAGUUUAAAGUAUGAAAAGUAGAAAUGUACACAUGCUUAAGAUGUAAAGCAAUAUCUAUAAACAGAAGUCUAUACAAUAUUUAAUGUAAAUAAUAAAUAUUAUGCCGUCAUUUUGUAACUUGUAGAUGCCACUUACUGUUGUCAUAACUUAGAAAUUUUGAGACCACGGAAGCGGUCCAUGUCCCUUAAUGAGAAGGAACAACUGUGCAUGCACUGCACUGCACUGUAUUCUGGAGGCUUUUAAAUGCCCCUCUUGGCCCUCAGAUCUCAAUGAAGUGCAUCCUUACCUAACGGGGUGUCUCCGGGUCAUUUCCCACUGACACGCGUCUGGUGUGAGCGUCUCCUUCUCUCACCAAUACACUGAGGAUCGGUUUCCACGGAAGUCGAGUCUUACCGGAUUUUGUAUUUGAAGGUAUCUUCACUCCAGGUCCUGGAAGAACUGCAUUAGGACAUAAGAUGGAUAAGGAAAGAAGAUACAGACCUUUCCUACCCUCCUCUAGGCCAUGAGAAACAGCAGUGAGAUCUCUGGGUUCUGCUAUGGAAGCAAAUUAGGCAGUGAGCUGCUGUGACUGGCAGGGCCCAUGCUGAGCCUCCAGGGCUGUCCCCUCAAUGAGACCCAGUGGGGGUGGGGUGGGGGCUGGAGGCUUGGGCUGAUUCUCUCCUCAGUAGUGUUAACAGUGCUGACAGCCCCAGGAGUAGUCAACCCCUGAUGUAAACAUUGGUGGCUAAGGCAGCAAGCCUUUCGCUCACCCAAAAAAAAACAAAAAACAAAACAAAACAAAAAA